AUGCACGGUUUCUGAGGAUCUUUGCUCUUGGCGGUGAGACAGAUUCUCCAACUACGUGCUACAGUAAGGGGGUGAAUUAGGCUGCUCGGGUUGUCUGGUGCCUGCUGCAGCUACGCUACAUCCCCACAUCU